rnacentral:rRNA from 1 species
AGCAGCCGCGGUAAUUCCAGCUCCAAUAGCGUAUAUUAAAGUUGUUGCAGUUAAAAGCUCGUAGUUGAAUUUCGGGAUCAAUUAAUUGGUCGUGCCUCUGGUACGUACUGAUUUUAUUGGUUUCUCCCUUCUGACGAACCAUGAUGUCAUUAAUCUGGUGUCGUGGAGAAUCAGGACUGUUACUUUGAAAAAUUGAGUGUUUAAAGCAAGCUAACGCUUGAAUACAUUAGCAUGGAAUAAUGAAAUAGGACGUUUGAUCCUAUUUUGUUGGUUUCUAGGAUCGACGUAAUGAUUAAUAGGGAUAGUUGGGGGCAUUAGUAUUCAAUUGUCAGAGGUGAAAUUCUUGGAUUUAUUGAAGACUAACUACUGCGAAAGCAUUUGCCAAGGAUGUUUUCAUUAAUCAA